rnacentral:lncRNA from 1 species
GCACUCCAAAGAGUUUUUCACUCAUCUUGAGAUCUACAAAGUGUUCUUGCUUUCAAGUUUCCAAGCUUCCAAAAGCUCUCAAGUGUCCAAGCUUCAAAAGCUCUCCAACUUCUACUUCUAACCUUCUUGUUCAUUUUUAUAAGUAAAAAGUUUUGUGUGCUUUAAACAUUCCACUCCUCUAAUCUUCUCUUGUGUGUGUCCACUUUGGUUGAGAGGUUUGUCUCAAUAUCACCAAAGUGUGAGAGAAGGUUUUUGAGUUCAACCAUAAAGCUCUUGUUUGAUUUUAUAGAGUUUCCGGGAUAACUCUUAGGUGGAAUCUACCUUAAAAGAUUUAGAAAGGUUUUUAAGAGUUCUUUAAUACUCUAAGGUCCUAACUUACCCGUAAAAGUUAGAGGUUUUUAAAAGUUCCAUAAUACUCUAAGGUGUGAGUCUACCCGUAAAAGACUGGUUCCUAAACGAAGUAGCCUUAAAGCUUAGAGAGGUUUUUAAGAGUUCCUUGAUACUCUAAGGUACUAACUUACCCGUAAAAGUUAGAGGUUCUUAAGAGUUUCCUUGACACUCUAAGGUGUGGGUCUACCCGUAAAAGACUGGUUCCUAAGCGA